AUUUCCCUGCUCCACAGUCAUUCCGAGAAGUCUGCCUGGCCCCUAUACUCCCACCCACUUUUAAAAAUUCAUUUCUCUAUUCAUUUGAAUAGGCACUCUAUUAUUUUCAAGUGCUAGAUGAGUUUUGAGAAGUGAGUAAGAAAACAGUGUCUCCACCAUCAAGACCUUAUCUAGUUGGAGAAAGAAGCAUAUAAGCAACUAACUAUAACAGCCAGUCGGGAGGCUGAGGCAGCCUGUACCAUGCCAUUUUGAUUACUGUAACAAUGUAGUAUAAUUUGAGUCAGGUAUGUGAUGCCUCCAAGUUGAUGCAGUUUCUUCCUAGUCUCGAUGGUCUUUACAUUUUGGCAUGAUUUUGCAGCAGCUGGUACCGGUUGUUCCUUUCUAUGUUUAGCACUUCCUUCAGGAGCUCUUUUAGGUCAGGCCUGGUGGUGACAAAAUCUCUCAGCAUUUGCUUGUCUGUAAAGUAUUUAUUUCAUCUUCCAUCGCUGAUACCCUUUCUUCCAGUUGAUUGCAUCGGCUCCUGAGGCUUCUGCAUUCUUCACGUAGUUCUCGAGCCUUGGUUUUCAGCUCCAUCAGCUCCUUUAAGCACUUCUCUGUAUUGGUUCUUCUAGUUAUACAUUCUUCUAAACUUUUUUCAAAGUUUUCUACAAGGCUACAGUAACCAAAACAGCAUGGUACUGGUACAAAAACAGAGAUAUAGAUCAAUGGAACAGAACAGAGCCCUCAGAAAUAACGCCGCAUGUCUACAACUAUCUGAUCUUUGACAAACCUGAGAAAAACAAGCAAUGGGGAAAGGAUUCCCUAUUUAAUAAAUGAUGCUGGGAAAACUGGCUAGCCAUAUAUAGAAAGCUGAAACUGGAUCCCUUCCUUA
rnacentral:lncRNA from 10 species